UACGUAGGGUGCGAGCGUUAAUCGGAAUUACUGGGCGUAAAGCGUGCGCAGGCGGUUCGUUGUGUCGGCGGUGAAAUCCCCGGGCUCAACUUGGGAACUGCAUUUGUGACUGCAUCGCUGGAGUGCGGCAGAGGGGGAUGGAAUUCCGCGUGUAGCAGUGAAAUGCGUAGAUAUGUGGAGGAACACCGAUGGCGAAGGCAGCCCCCUGGGUCAAGAUUGACGCUCAUGCACGAAAGCGUGGGGAGCAAACAGG
rnacentral:rRNA from 1 species